AAGUAAUGUCAGUUAAUAUAGUAAAAGUCUAAAUAAAUACCACAGAACGCUGUUUCACACACAUAUUGUGUAGAAAAGAGUGAAGUAUUUCCAACUUGAACAGUUUAAACACGGAAAAUUUAGAAAAAAAGGAGAACGUUCUCAUCAAACUCCAGCAGAGCUUCACGUGUCAAUUCUACACACUACAAAAAUACUUCUUCCAAGUAAAACAUUUCUUGUUUUCUACUCAUGCCAAAGCACGUUGCACUUCGUAGGUUCCAGAGAAACGUUAAGGUGUGCCUGUUUUUCCUACUUAAAUACCUUAUUGGCAGCUUCCACAGGCUAACGACUAGGAAUAAAAUCCAUUCACAGCUGCCAGAGCCUUUAAACCCUACUUUUUAAGUUAAGCCCACACGACGGAGCCACGCACUCUCUCCUUGCUUCAGAGCGAAACUCGGCAAGCCUGACAGACUCCAUUUGUGCGGUCGGUUUCCUCCUCCCCCCCUCCCCCUUUGCAGUUAGUCCCCGUCGUUACUCCUUCUCCCCAGGGACUGCCGGCCGGGAGGAAGCCCCCCCGCCUGCUCGGGGAUGCUGCCCUGAGCGGGGCGCGGGCACCAGCUUAGUCACGGCCAGGUUCCUCUGCCAGUGAGAUGGCAGAUCCGUGGCUGGGCGAGGUGAAGGAAGGAGGGCUGAAGCCGCGCUCCGGUGCGCUGGGGAAGGGGCCUACGGACCUGGAAAGCGCCGGUCUCCUAAUGAAAAGGGCUAUGAAAGGCCGCACCGGAGAGGAGCAGCAUCAGCUUCCUUGAACAGGAGGAAAGAAAAGGAUAAGGGGGCUUAGGUUGGAAGCAGCUUAGGAAAUAAAGGCGUAUGUAGGGGUAGGUUUCUGUCACGGCUGAAUGGCGGCAUGUAGUUUUUGGCCCAGGGGUCGCAGGUUCUUCUAAAGCCGUUGGGUUAUGGAUGAUCCGCUUCGUUAGGGUGAAGCGAGGGCGUUGGGAUGGUGGAGGUCUGCUCCUCAGAUUGGGAAGAGCCUCCAGAAAACAAAACGGGACGCAGGGAGCGCGUGUCUCUGCCCGCGCAGCGAAGGCGGCCGGCCGCUUGGGAGAACGCCGGGUUGAGCCAUGUGCUGGCGCAGCAGCCCCUGAGGUCUGUCCCCGCUGGCCUUCUGGAGUCAGGUGAAGACUGUUCCCACCGUCCAUGGGAAGUGGAAGAUCUAAGGACUAACAUUUACUUCGGAAAUUGUUUCCCGUGGCUGGCGGUAGGGGACAGAGAAGGGAGCAUACAGAGGUUUCGCCUGUUGAUCCCUCAGCUUGGGGGGCAGCUGUAA
rnacentral:lncRNA from 1 species